rnacentral:rRNA from 1 species
GACGAACGCUGGCGGCGUGCCUAACACAUGCAAGUGGAGCGACGAACUAGACUUCGGUCUGGGGCCAAGCCGCGAACGGGUGAGUAACACGUGGGUAACCUGCCCCAAUGAUCGGGACAACCCGGGGAAACCCGGGCUAAUACCGAAUGUGGUCGCGGUCCGUGAGGACUGUGACGAAAGGAAGCUUCGGCCUCCGCAUUGGGAUGGGCCCGCGGCCCAUUAGCUUGUUGGUGGGGUAAUGGCCUACCAAGGCAUCGAUGGGUAGCUGGUCUGAGAGGACGAUCAGCCACACUGGGACUGAGACACGGCCCAGACUCCUACGGGAGGCAGCAGUGGGGAAUCUUGCGCAAUGCGCGAAAGCGUGACGCAGCAACGCCGCGUGGGGGAAGAAGGCUUUCGGGUCGUAAACCCCUUUCAGUUGGGACGAAGCUUCGCCGGUGAAUAGCCGGCCGGAGUGACGGUACCUUCACAAGAAGCCCCGGCUAACUACGUGCCAGCAGCCGCGGUAAUGCGUAU